UAUUAAAAAAUUUCAUUCUUUUUUACUAUUAAAAACUAAUAUGACUGACAGAAUAAUCAAACAAUGACGCUUAGCGUGCCACAUGUAUCUCAUAUUGAUGUACAAGAAUCAAUUUUUAACAGUAAAAAUAGAUAAAAUUUUUAACA
rfam:Gossypium raimondii Chr05_contig_572, whole genome shotgun sequence.